UGGGGAAUAUUGGGCAAUGGAGGAAACUCUGACCCAGCGACGCCGCGUGAGGGAUGAAGGCCUUCGGGUUGUAAACCUCUUUCAGUAGGGAAGAAGCGAAAGUGACGGUACCUACAGAAGAAGCACCGGCUAACUAUGUGCCAGCAGCCGCGGUAAUACAUAGGGUGCAAGCGUUGUCCGGAAUUAUUGGGCGUAAAGAGCUCGUAGGUGGUUCGAUACGUCGGAUGUGAAAAUCAGGGGCUCAACCCCUGACCUGCAUCCGAUACGGUCGAGCUAGAGUUUGGUAGGGGAGACUGGAAUUCCUGGUGUAGCGGUGGAAUGCGCAGAUAUCAGGAGGAACACCGAUGGCGAAGGCAGGUCUCUGGGCCAAUACUGACACUGAGGAGCGAAAGCGUGGGGAGCGAACAGGAUUAGAUACCCUGGUAGUCCACGCCGUAAACGGUGGGCGCUAGUUGUGCGAACCUUCCACGGUAUGUGCGACGCAGCUAACGCAUUAAGCGCCCCGCCUGGGGAGUACGAUCGCAAGAUUA
rnacentral:rRNA from 1 species